CCGGCGAGAGACCAUGAGACAGU
rnacentral:miRNA from 1 species